GGGAUGUGGGGCCUAUUAAUCAACAUGUGACAAGUGGGGGAGGAGGUGGUAGUGAAUAAAUAAAAUAAGGGCAGCAGGGAAUGUGACCCUAUUUUUAAUCCCCAACCACCAAUAAUUACUGCAACACCAACUAUAGAUCUAGAUCUAGGAGAAGAUGUUUUCAAUGUUGUCAAUGAUGAUAUACAAGGAGAAGAUGCUGUCAAUGGUGAAGUAGAAAAUUCCAAUACUUCAUCUAAAUCUGAAUUUGAACUUUUCGAUGACUAUGGAAGUGAUAUACAUGAAGAACUUAGGAUUGUGAAAUAAGAUCUGAAGGCUUACAAUAAAAAGGGGGAAAAUUAAAAGAAAGAAAAAUCAGAUGGGUUUAUAGGUGAGGCUAUUCUUGACGAAGGUUAUGAAGAUAUUGAUAAAGUUAAAAAAAUUAAAAGAUAAAUUGAGAGGUGAUGAUGAUGAGCCAUAUUAUGACUCAUUAGAUGCAGAUAGUUUUGCUAGUGAAUCUGAUGGUGAAGCUGUCAAUGAUGUUGAAGUAGGAGGAGGGAACUUGAGGGAAAGGAGAAAAAGCAAUAGAGUAAUAUAUAAUCCAGAUUGUGAGACGGUUAUUUGGCAAAUUGGUCAAGUAUUUGAAAAUGUGAGUAAGUUUAGAGAGGCUUUAACCGAGUAUGCUGUAAAGAAAGGGGUUCAGUUGGACAAAUACAAGAAUGAACCAAGUAGAGUUAGGGUGAAGUGCAAGCCUGGUUGUCCUUGGAUGAUAUUUGCUAGCAAGGAAGGUAGAAGCUCAAAUUUUACAGCAAGACAUAUAAUCCAGGGCAUAAAUGCCAUAAGACCAAUAUUAAUUUUCUUUGCAAUUCCAAAUAUAUGGCCAAGCAUUAUAAGGAGGGGAUCAUUUUACAACCUACCAUUAACGGGUGGGAAAUACAAGAUCUUAUGAUGGAAGAUUUUAAUGUGUAUGUGGGCAAGGCUAUUUGUUUAAAGACAAAAAAAAUUAUGUUGAAAGAGGUUAUGGGAGAUCAUGUUGCUGAGUUUGGCAGGUUAUUUGACUACAGGGAUGUGCUGCUACAGACAAAUCCCGGCAGCACAUGUGUUGUUAAGGUUACUGAACAAGAAUAUGGAAAAAAGAGUUUGUAAGCUUCUAUAUAUGCUUUGCUGCUAUGAAGAAGGGGUUCACGGAGGGUUGUAGGAAGUGUAUAGGGCUGGAUGGUUAUUUUCUAAAAGGAAUAUCGAAAGGCUAGUUAAUGGUAGCAAUUGCUAAAGAUGAAAACAAUCAAAUAUUUUCAAUUGCAUGGGUUAUUGUUGGGACUGAGAAAAAGGAUACACAGAGAUGGUUUAUGAGGAUCUUACAAGAUGACCUACAACUUGGAGAUGGAACUCAGGUCACUAUAAUCAGUGACAUGCAAAAGGCUUGGUUAGUGUCGCUGAAGAAGUAUUCCCAGCUUGUGAGCACAGAAUAUGUGCAAGACAUAUUCUAUCAAAUUGGUCAAAGAAGUGGAGGGGUAUUGAGAGAAGAAAGAAGUUUUAGAGUUGUGUUAGAGCAACAUUUGAGGCCGAGCUUAAAACCAAGCUAGAUGAGUUAAAUACAUUAGGUCACAAUAUUGUUGAAGAUCUUAUUUCAUAUAAUAAAGAAAGAUGGUGCAAAUUCUACUUCCAAGAAUUCUCCAAAUGUGACAGUGUGGACAAUAAUAUGUCGGGAAGUUUCAAUGCUUGGAUAUUGGGAGCUAGACACAAGACAAUUGUGUCAAUGCUAGAAGAAAUUAAAGUCAAGGUCAUGAUUAGAGUACCUAAGAUGAGGGCAUUUGCUGAAACUUGGGUAGACAUGAUAUCUCCAAUGGCAAUGAAGGUAUUCAACACUAAUGUGGAGAAGUCAAUGAAGUGUAAGAUUCACCUGUAUUGGAAUGGAGACAAUGGAUUUGAAAUUAAGGAAGGUAAAAUUAAUUUUAUUAUUUACAUGUAGAGAGGAUAUUGUAGCUGCAGGUCAUGGCAACUGAAAGGCAUUCCAUGUGCACAUGCCAUAACAACAAUGCACAACAGGAGGAUUGAUGCAUCUGAGUCAAUUGCAACAUGGUACAAAAAGGAGACCUAUCUGCAGGCUUAUUCAAACUUUAUACAACCUGUCCCAGUAUAAUAAUGUGGCUAGUUACCUCAAAUCCAAAGAUUGGGCCACCUGCAGUUCAAAAAAUGCCUGGUAGGCCAAAGAGAAAUAGAAGAAAAGAGGAAGGAUAACUUAAAAAGGCUGGUAAGUUAUCCAAAAUGGGAAUAGAAAUGACAUGCUCUAUUUUCAAGUCUAGUGCACAUAAUAAAAGAAGUUGUCCCUCCAGGCCAACAUCCCCAACAAUAACAUCAGAGUGUAAUGUUUCCCAACAAUCAUCAACCGGAAGUACACGGAAGAGAAGUGUUAUUGAUACUCAAGAGGGAUCUACAAACAGGGAAGGUAUUAAGGGAAGUAGAACUAAGUAUAAGAGGCCGAAGGUUAAAGGACAAGGUGUAUUUGUGUCUAAGACUGGUUAUAGUUGUGUUAAUAAGUUACAGGUGAUAUUGGAUAUAAGUCCAGCAAGUCUUUGGAGUGGAAAGGAAAGCAAGCUAUUACUCAAAGAGAACUCCAAAUACAAAGUGCUAUAUACGGAGUCUAAACAAGAUCAAAGGCUGUUGAAAUUCAAACAAGAUCACAAACGGAAACUUCUCCUUCGAAGAUAACAACAUAAAUUUCUAAGAUUAACUUAGCUAAGCUAAUUUUUGUGUUAGUGUUGGUAGUAUUCUAUAGAAGCUUUGGUGGUGUUGCUAGUAGUAUUUUGUAAGCACUUUGUGUUAGUGCUGGUAGUGAUUUACAAUCAUUUUGUGUUGGUGUUUGUAGUAUCUUAUAAGCACUUGUGAUGCUGUCCAAUUAUUUUUUGUUAAAUGACUCUUGCAAUGUCUAAACUUCCAGUAAGGGUAUAAUUAUUGCUUGGAUGUUAGUUGCUCA